rnacentral:misc_RNA from 1 species
AAGUCGUAACAAGGUUUCCGUAGGUGAACCUGCGGAAGGAUCAUUGCCGAUCGGACGCCACGCAAGGAAGCUCUCACGGGCCAACUUGCGCGGUGUCUUUUUCGACCAACCCAUGUGAACUCGUUUUAUGUGUUUAACAAAACUCACACCCCUCACCGGGAGUGCGUUUUUGUCCAAACAUUUUACAACAAACCACAUUUCAUUAAACUCUUGACUGAGACAAUACAGGUCACGCCUAAAAACGUUGAUCUCAAAAACCUAACCAUUACAACUUUUAACAACGGAUAUCUUGGCUCGC